GUGCUUGCUUCAGCAGCACAUAGACUAAAAUUGGAACGAUACAGAGAAGAUUAGCAUGGCCCCUGCGCAAGGAUGGCACACAAAUUCAUGAAGGGUUCCAUAUUUUU
rnacentral:snRNA from 1 species